GCCAUGGACGUGGGCGCCGAGGAGUUCGAGCAGCUCUUGCCCCUGCUGCAGGAGCUGGUUCUCCGCGCGGACUUCGUGGGUCUGGACAUAGAGUUCACUGGCCUUCGCUCCACCCUGUCCAGGCCCCAGCAGAUCAGCCUGUUUGACUUGCCAUCAGAGUGGUAUCUAAAGAGCCGGCAGAGUGUCCAGCAGUUUACAAUCUGUCAGAUUGGAUUGUCUGUGUUUUCCAGAGUCAAAGGAGAGUCCAACAAGUAUGUAUCCCAUUCAUGUAACUUCUUUCUCUUCCCUACAACGUUUGGGAUUUUGGAUUCAGAAUUCUCUUUCCAGGCUUCUAGUGUUCAGUUUUUGAAUCAGUAUGGCUUCGACUAUAACAAGUUUCUCAAAAAUGGAAUCCCAUAUAUGAAUGAAGAACAAGAGAGGAAAAUUAAACACAGUAUCCUGUGUGGGAACUGGAGAGUUCGCAGUUCUUUGGAUAAAGACCAAAUCAAGAUGGUAAUUGAUAGAGUUACACGGUGGCUGGCCCUGGCAGAGGAAGGCGAUUGGAUGACUCUCCCUGGCAUCACUGGGUUCCAGGCCUUUGAGGUCCAGUUGGUGCUGCAGCAAGCCCUCCCCAACAUCUGGACGGUGCCGAAGGACCAAGGGGUGACAGUGAAGAAAGUGAGUAAACAGCAUCGCUGGUACCUUGAGAACACUUCUUGUGAGCGCGAGAGGUGCUGGAAGGAGAAGAUUCUUCUCUCUGCAAAGGGGUUUUCUGUCUUUUUCCAGAUGCUGGUGAAAGCCCAGAAGCCCUUAGUGGGACAUAACAUGUUGAUGGAUCUGCUGCAUCUUCAUGAGAAGUUCUUCAGGCAUCUCCCAGAAAGCUAUGAUCAGUUUAAGCUGAAUAUCCAUCACCUAUUUCCUAUUCUCAUUGACACCAAGAAUGUAACAAAGGAUAUCUGGAAGGAACUGAAUUUCCCAAGGGUUUCAAAUCUUUCAGAAGUUUAUGAAGUCCUUAACAGUGACUUGAACCCCACUAAGAAUUCUGGACCCGUGAUUGUUCAUGCAAGCAAGUGUGAAAAGUAUGCUGAGACCAAGUGCCCCCACGAAGCAGCCUAUGAUGCCUUUCUCUGUGGGUCAGUUCUUUUGAAAGUGGCUCACUUGCUUCUACAGAGAGUACAUGGCAGCUGUUCCACACCGGAGCCCUCCUUCCCCCAGUACCUGGAUGUGCUGGCCCCCUAUGUGAACCAAGUGAAUCUUAUCCGAGCUGGGGUCCCGAAAAUCAAUUUUUCUGGUCCGGAUUUUCCCAGUAUCCGACCUCCCAUCCUCAUCCUCAGUGUCAAGAGGUGGCCGGGGGUCAGUGAGCAGCAGGUCUACCGGGAGUUCCAGAACCUCUGCAAGUUUGACAUCAGGCGCCUCACACGGAGCCAGUUCCUGCUUCUGACCAAUAAGUUUAAGGAUGCUCGGGCUAUCUUAAAGGAAUACAGAUGUCACCCCGACCUCCAGGUGUCCGUGUAUCGGUACUGGAGACAUUCCCCAAACAUCAACUGUGUGUUACAGUAAGUAGCCAGGCCCGAAGCAUCGCCUUCCUGACGGCUCUGCAUUUCCGUCGGUUCUGCAUUGAGCCCCAUUCGCCAGCUGGUGGGCAUUGUAAAGGGUGUUGACGAGGGUGAUGGUGGCCUGUAUUUGGCAGCGUUCACCAACGCUUACUGAGCAUCAGCUGCGGUGGACACGGUUCUAGGGAUUCAUCAGUGAAGAAAAGAACAAUCCCUGUUUUUAUGGUUUUUAUGCAGGAAGUGGUGAACACUAAGCAUAAAAAUAGUGAAUUCUGUAAUACAUUGGGUGAUAAGUGUUUAUUAAACCAGGAAUCCCUGAGUGACACACAUGGGAAGCUCUUGAUUGCUAAGGUUGGCGGUUCAAACCCACUCAGAGGCACCUCAGAAGAAAUGCCUGGCGGACAGCUCCCAAAAGGUCACAGCCGUUGAAGACCCUGUGGAGCAGUUCCACUCGGAUGCACGUGGGGACUCCCAUGAGUUGGAAUCAGCUUGAUGGCGGCCGAUACACAUGAUUUAUUAAACACUAGGGCAGGGUCAGGGGGUGGGGUGGGAGUAGGGCUGGGGGAGGUUGUAAUGGGGGAGACAGCAAGGGUGGCCCUCAUUAAAGAGGUGAGACUUGAGCAAAGAUUUGGAAGCAGCAAGGGCAGGAGCCACCCAGGGAUGCCUGGGGAACAGCGUUCCAGGCAGAGGGAGCAGUGAGGGCAAAGGCCCUGGCGGGACUGCGUCCAGUGUGCAGGGUGGCGAGAAGGUCCCGUGGCUGGAACAGAAGGAGCUGGGAGAGCAGCAGCAGGGUCUGUGGCAUAAUCAGCACGUGGGCCCUGGUGGCCUUUCUGCUCGGAAGACCUGGCGCCUGAACACAGCAUGGCCACCGCCCGCUGGCCCUCCUAGGGACACCCAUCUGGGGCUGACUGUGGGAAUCCUCUUGUCUGCAGAUGCCACUGUACAGUGCUUUCUUGGGACUUUGUGGUGUUCUGCAUGUGAAAUUCUGUAAAUAUUCUCAAUGAUAAAGAAAUCCUGGGAUGUGAUACCCUUGUGGCCAACACUUUUCUUUCUCUAAAUGAUUGGGAAGUGGUCCCCACCUCUGGGGAGUUGAGCCAGUUUUCCAGAGUGUCUUAUGAACUGAUAAUUACGAUAGGAGCAGACCCCAAAUGAAAGGCUAGGUAACUUCAGGGAGAAAAAAUAAUGGCCAGUAGGCCGAUGGGGAUUUAGAUCUGAGAAGUAUCCUAAGUUUAGUAAAGAAAAAAAAUGAAGCUUGGAAGAGUCAGUGUUCUGUGCAUUGGUGACGUUAUGGUGAGUAUUAUAAACCAAAAAAUGUGAACAUUCAUUUUAGAAGAAAAUACAUACAACCACAGGUGUAUUCCUUGAAAGCCAGGGUGUAACCCCGUCUUUUUUUUCCCUGUACGGUGUCCCACACUUGACGCAGCUUUGUCCUCACUAAUUCUCCUAAGCAUCUGAACUCGGCUGGGCUGUUCACAGAAACUAACUUACAGAUUCAGCUAUUCUUCUUAAAUUCAGUUUUGAAGAAAAAUUUUUCUCUCUAAAAACAAGCAUUAGUGGCGAUGGCUGCCCAGAUGGAGAGUUGUAGAGCUGCUUUUCCAGAGGUCAGAGCCCAGUCUUGAGGGCUGGUGAGUGUAGCCAGGGACCAGUGGGCCGCUGUCCUCAGGGGGUCAGGCCACCUCCUGAUGGCUGAGUCAAAUGGGGAGGGUCCGGGGUUUGACUCAUUUGCCCAAACAGCAUCAUAGUGGAUGUGUUGGUUGGUUUUUGUUUUUCUAUUGAAUAUAACUUCUGAAAAGACUCUCCCUGUUCUUUUGUGGGCUUUUGGGGCCCGCUUGCUUUUUGGGUAUGCCCUGCAUUAAUUGAACAAACCUGAAAAGUGAAAGCAAACUUCCUGGAUGAGUAUCCUGAAAGGGCAGGAGCAGGACUGAGCAGUGUCACUUGUUUAUAUGGUUCUAGAGGAUGAGAGAAGGAGCCUUGGUAGCACAGUGGUUAGGCACUCAGCAGCUUACCCAAAGGUUGAUGGUUUGAAUCCACCAGCCACCCCGUAGGAGAAAGAUGUGGCAGUCUGCUUCUGUAAAGAUUCCAAACCAAACCCAUUGCCGUCAAAUCAAUUCUGACUCACAGCAAACCUACAGGACAGAGUAGAACUGCCCCGUAGGGUUUCCAAGGAGUACCUGGUGGAUUCGAACUGCUGACCUUUUGGUUAGCAGCCAUAGCACUUA